rnacentral:rRNA from 1 species
CCCUUAGAUGCUCUGGGCCGCACGCGCGCUACACUGGUCGAUGCAACGAGUUUCUUUCCUUGGCCGACAGGCCUGGGCAAUCUUUGAACAUCGAUCGUGAUCGGGAUAGAUUCUUGUAAUUUUUGAUCUUAAACGAGGAAUUCCUAGUAAACGCAAGUCAUCAGCUUGCAUUGAUUACGUCCCUGCCCUUUGUACGCACCGCCCGUCGCACCUACCGAUUGAAUGGUCCGGUGAAAUCUCCGGACUGGCGUGAGUCGGAGCAAUCUGACAAACGCCGGAAAGUUGAUUAAACCUUACCAUUUAGAGGAGGGUGAAGUCGUAACA